rnacentral:rRNA from 1 species
UACGUAGGGGGCUAGCGUUGUCCGGAAUCAUUGGGCGUAAAGAGCGUGUAGGCGGUCCGGUAAGUCCGCUGUGAAAGUCGGGGGCUCAACCCUCGAAUGCCGGUGGAUACUGUCGGGCUAGAGUGCGGAAGAGGCGAGUGGAAUUCCUGGUGUAGCGGUGAAAUGCGCAGAUAUCAGGAGGAACACCGGUGGCGAAGGCAGGUCACUGGGCCGCAACUGACGCUGAGGAGCGAAAGCAUGGGGAGCGAACAGG